AGUUGAGGACUCUGAAGGCUGUUUCUGUGGCGCUUCCCCUGCGAGGAUGGCUACCCUGGUUGUAAACAAGCUCGGAGCGGGAGUAGACAGUGGCCGGCAGGGCAGCCGGGGGACAGCUGUAGUGAAGGUGAUUCAGGUGUCUGGGGAUUGAAAAAAAAUUUUGCUUUAUUGGAGCUUUUGGAACGACUGCAGAAUGGGCCUAUUGGUCAGUAUGGAGCUGCAGAAGAAUCCAUUGGGAUAUCUGGAGAGAGCAUCAUUCGUUGUGAUGAAGAUGAAGCUCACCUUGCCUCUGUAUAUUGCACUGUGUGUGCAACUCAUUUGUGCUCUGAGUGUUCUCAAGUUACUCAUUCUACAAAGACAUUAGCAAAGCACAGCAUUCAGUAUUGGAACCAGAAGCUAAUCAGAUCCGAGCAUCAAUUUUAGAUAUGGCUCACUGCAUACGGACCUUCACAGAGGAAAUCUCAGAUUAUUCCAGAAAAUUAGUUGGAAUUGUGCAGCACAUUGAAGGAGGAGAACAAAUCGUGGAAGAUGGAAUUGGAAUGGCUCACACAGAACA
rnacentral:lncRNA from 1 species